rnacentral:rRNA from 1 species
AUUGAACGCUGGCGGCAUGCUUUACACAUGCAAGUCGAACGGCAGCACGGGUGCUUGCACCUGGUGGCGAGUGACGAACGGGUGAGUAAUGCAUCGGAACGUGCCCAUGAGUGGGGGAUAGCCCGGCGAAAGCCGGAUUAAUACCGCAUACGCCCUUAGGGGGAAAGCGGGGGAUCUUCGGACCUCGCGCUAUUGGAGCGGCCGAUGUCGGAUUAGCUAGUAGGUGAGGUAAAGGCUCACCUAGGCGACGAUCCGUAGCUGGUCUGAGAGGAUGAUCAGCCACACUGGGACUGAGACACGGCCCAGACUCCUACGGGAGGCAGCAGUGGGGAAUUUUGGACAAUGGGCGGCAAGCCUGAUCCAGCCAUGCCGCGUGAGUGAAGAAGGCC